CGGACGGGUGAGUAAUGUCUGGGAAACUGCCCGAUGGAGGGGGAUAACUACUGGAAACGGUAGCUAAUACCGCAUAACGUCGCAAGACCAAAGAGGGGGACCUUCGGGCCUCUUGCCAUCGGAUGUGCCCAGAUGGGAUUCGCUAGUAGGUGGGGUAACGGCUCACCUAGACGACGAUCCCUAGCUGGUCUGAGAGGAUGACCAGCCACACUGGAACUGAGACACGGUCCAG
rnacentral:rRNA from 1 species